rnacentral:rRNA from 1 species
CCAGCCAUGCCGCGUGAGUGAUGAAGGCCUUAGGGUCGUAAAGCUCUUUCGCCUGUGAAGAUAAUGACUGUAGCAGGUAAAGAAACCCCGGCUAACUCCGUGCCAGCAGCCGCGGUAAUACGGAGGGGGUUAGCGUUGUUCGGAAUUACUGGGCGUAAAGCGCGCGUAGGCGGACUGGAAAGUUGGGGGUGAAAUCCCAGGGCUCAACCCUGGAACUGCCUCCAAAACUAUCAGUCUAGAGUUCGAGAGAGGUGAGUGGAAUUCCGAGUGUAGAGGUGAAAUUCGUAGAUAUUCGGAGGAACACCAGUGGCGAAGGCGGCUCACUGGCUCGAUACUGACGCUGAGGUGCGAAAGUGUGGGGAGCAAACAGGAUUAGAUACCCUGGUAGUCCACACCGUAAACGAUGAAUGCCAGUCGUCGGGUAGCAUGCUAUUCGGUGACACACCUAACGGAUUAAGCAUUCCGCCUGGGGAGUACGGUCGCAAGAUUAAAACUCAAAUGAAUUUACG